UACGGAGGGGGCUAGCGUUGUUCGGAAUUACUGGGCGUAAAGCGCACGUAGGCGGCUUUGCAAGUUAGAGGUGAAAGCCCGGGGCUCAACUCCGGAAUUGCCUUUAAAACUGCAUCGCUAGAAUUGUGGAGAGGUAAGUGGAAUUCCGAGUGUAGAGGUGAAAUUCGUAGAUAUCGGGAGGAACACCAGUGGCGAAGGCGGCGACCUGGGCAGAUACUGACACUGAGGUGCGAAAGCGUGGGGAGCAAACAGG
rnacentral:rRNA from 1 species